GGACACAUUUUUCUCGAUGCAAGUAUGAUGCAUUUCAAAACACGUUGGUGUUGUAAUUAAUUUUUUAACAUCUUAAGCUCUAUAAAACCCGGUGAUGAACUAUCUUUCAACAAUAGUCGCAACUGUUUACUUGUUGGAAAUUCUGGGAGCGAAAAUGGCACAUUAUCUGAAAUGUGUUCUCGUGGUCGUUGCUUGCUGCGUAUAUUCAGCAUUGGGGGCCAGCCUUAUCAUCUGUGAGGGGCAGUCCGCGACCCUGUCAUGCCCCGCCGGGCAGGUCUUGAGCGUGACCUCUGCGGUGUUCGGGCGCACUAGAGGGAUUUGCGUCUGUCCAUCCAGUAAUGUCGAGAAUAAGAACUGCAGGGCUCUAGGCACCACUAGCAUCGUACAGGCACUGUGCAACGGCAGAAACACGUGUAUUCUCCAAGCGAGCCCUUUCAUAUACGGAGAUCCUUGUCCUGGCACAUUCAAAUACCUGGAGGUUGAUUACACGUGUGUUACACCUGGACGUUAAUAACACACAUCAUUAAGCAUAUGUAUCAGUUUGCUAUUUUUAUUGAAUACAUUCUAUUAAUUUCAAAAUGAAAAAGGACAAUUUUAAGAAAAACGAUUCAUUUAUCAACUUACGUGUGUAAAAACUCUGUUCAAUUCGAACUGGUUUGGAAAUCACAAUAAAAAAACAUAUUUGUAGUUAUUCUAGUAAUUUCUAACAAUAUCCUCCAAUUUAUGUAACAUUUGUAUCAAAUACUGAUGUUUAACCAAGGAUUCUAGAACAGUUGAGAAACAAACAAGUUUUAUAUGAAAAUAGAUAGUGAAUCUGCACCUUGAUGUAAUUUUUAACUGCCACAACAUGAAUUAAUAGUUUAAUAAACACAGCGAAACUA